CUAAGGGGUGCUGGAGCCCGAUUUGAUAGGUUUCCGGCUGAGAUUAUACCCAUUGAACCUGAUACGGGUAAUGCCGACGCAGGGAUAUU
rnacentral:ncRNA from 1 species